GGCUUUUGAUACGCUUGUGGAGAC
rnacentral:siRNA from 1 species